AACGAACGCUGGCGGCAUGCCUAACACAUGCAAGUCGAACGAGACCUUCGGGUCUAGUGGCGCACGGGUGCGUAACGCGUGGGAACCUGCCCUUAGGUUCGGAAUAACUCCCCGAAAGGGGUGCUAAUACCGGAUAAUGUCUUCGGACCAAAGAUUUAUCGCCUUUGGAUGGGCCCGCGUUGGAUUAGCUAGUUGGUAGGGUAAAAGCCUACCAAGGCGACGAUCCAUAGCUGGUCUGAGAGGAUGAUCAGCCACACUGGGACUGAGACACGGCCCAGACUCCUCCGGGAGGCAGCAGUGGGGAAUAUUGGACAAUGGGCGAAAGCCUGAUCCCGCAGUACCGCGUGAGUGAUGAAGGCCUUAGGGUUGUAAAUCUCUUUUACCCGGGAUGAUAAUGACAGUACCGGGAGAAUACGCUCCGGCUAACUCCGU
rnacentral:rRNA from 1 species